rnacentral:rRNA from 1 species
CUGAAUAUGGGGGGACCAUCCUCCAAGGCUAAAUACUCCUGACUGACCGAUAGUGAACCAGUACCGUGAGGGAAAGGCGAAAAGAACCCCGGCGAGGGGAGUGAAAAAGAACCUGAAACCGUGUACGUACAAGCAGUGGGAGCACAGAGCAAUCUGUGUGACUGCGUACCUUUUGUAUAAUGGGUCAGCGACUUAUAUUCUGUAGCAAGGUUAACCGAAUAGGGGAGCCGAAGGGAAACCGAGUCUUAACUGGGCGUUAAGUUGCAGGGUAUAGACCCGAAACCCGGUGAUCUAGCCAUGGGCAGGUUGAAGGUUGGGUAACACUAACUGGAGGACCGAACCGACUAAUGUUGAAAAAUUAGCGGAUGACUUGUGGCUGGGGGUGAAAGGCCAAUCAAACCGGGAGAUAGCUGGUUCUCCCCGAAAGCUAUUUAGGUAGCGCCUCGUGAAUUCAUCUCCGGGGGUAGAGCACUGUUUCGGCAAGGGGGUCAUCCCGACUUACCAACCCGAUGCAAACUGCGAAUACCGGAGAAUGUUAUCACGGGAGACACACGGCGGGUGCUAACGUCCGUCGUGAAGAGGGAAACAACCCAGACCGCCAGCUAAGGUCCCAAAGUCAUGGUUAAGUGGGAAACGAUGUGGGAAGGCCCAGACAGCCAGGAUGUUGGCUUAGAAGCAGCCAUCAUUUAAAGAAAGCGUAAUAGCUCACUGGUCGAGUCGGCCUGCGCGGAAGAUGUAACGGGGCUAAACCAUGCACCGAAGCUGCGGCAGCGACGCUUAUGCGUUGUUGGGUAGGGGAGCGUUCUGUAAGCCUGCGAAGGUGUGCUGUGAGGCAUGCUGGAGGUAUCAGAAGUGCGAAUGCUGACAUAAGUAACGAUAAAGCGGGUGAAAAGCCCGCUCGCCGGAAGACCAAGGGUUCCUGUCCAACGUUAAUCGGGGCAGGGUGAGUCGACCCCUA